rnacentral:rRNA from 1 species
ACCUAAUAAAUUUGGCGGUAUUUUUUACUUAUUAGAGGAAUUUGUUUUAAUAGAUCGAUAAUCCCCGAAAUAUCUUAUUUUUCUUUGUUUUAACAGUUUGUAUACCGUUAUGAAUAUAAUUUUUAUAAAAUCAAUUAUUGUAAUAUUAGUUAAAUAGGAUAUUAGAUCAAGGUGCAGCUUAUAGAAAAGAUAAAAUGAAUUACAAUAUAUUUUUAUAAGAUGGAUUAUAAAUUGAAUAAUUUAUAUUAAAUUGGAUUUAAUUGUAAUAAGAUUUUAACAUGAUCUUAUGGUUAAAGUUUCAAAAUAUGU